CUAGGACGUCUGGAGGUCUCUGAAGGAGUUGUAUCUCUAUGGUGGCUCAUGAGGACAUGGAUUUAGUUCCAAUCACCUAUGUAUGAUGUCUUCCAACCACCUUUAACUCCAGACCCAGGGAAUCUGGUGCCAUCCUCUGGACUCUUCAAGAAUCUAUUAUUAUAGAAGACCACUGUAAACACCAAAACUUCGUGGCCAGGAAUGAUUCAACAUGCCAAGCACUUGUUACCAAAGCCUGAGGAUUGGAUCUCCAGUUUGGAUCUCCAGCACCCAUGUGAGACAGGCAAACAGGAGGCAAACAGGACACCCACAGUCCCAGCAAACAGGAGACAGAGACAGGAUCUCUGAAAGCAAGCUGGCUAGUUAGACUCAUCAAAGCAGCAAGCUCUGGCUUCAAAUGACAGACCCUACCUUAAUAUUUAAGAUGUAUAUGGACUUUGAACUACUUUACUUACCUCACCUGCUUUAUAACCUGCCUUACCUGAUUUGUUGGCAUCAGUGUAGAAGGUAAGAACUCCAGAAAUGGGAGUUUAUCUUACAAUACGUGGAAGAAUCCAGACUGUCUUUUUUUAUGAAUUUAAUUCUGUCAGUUUUGGGAUACUUGUUAAUUGUUCCCAAAAAGUCAGUAAGAGUUAUUUGCCAAUAUUCAUUAUUCUUCCACAAGGAGGAAAUUUGUCAUUAGUUAAAGGUACUAUAAUUUCUGCUGGAUCUUUUCCAGUCAGCUGGCGAAGUCUUAAUUUACCCUUUAAAAUCAAAUCAGAAAUCUUUUCUAUAUAUGUCUUUAACUUCUUAUUCUGUUUAUGUGGCAGAAAUAUCCAUUCCAAUAUAGUGUCUUCCCUUUGCAUCACAAUUCCAGAAGGGUAUUCUCUGGAUGGCAAGAUAACCAGAAUACAGUCUAAAUCAAGGUUUAUCCGAUCUACAUGUGCAUCCAAUAUUCUGUUUUCUACCCAUUGCAACUCUUUUUCUGCCUCAGUAGAUAAUAUCCUAGGACUAUUUAGGUCCUUAUCACCUUUAAGUGCCAUUUUAAAAUGCUUUGAGUCAUGUCCUUCUAUACCAAUAAACGUCUGUAAUUGAGAAAUUUUCCCUAAUAAUUUCUGAAGAGAAUUAAGAGUUUGAUAACGAUCUCUCCUAAUUUGUACCUUUUGAGGUCUGAUUCUUUGUAAGUCUAUCUUGUAACCUAAAUAGUUAAUAGAAUCUCCUCCUUGUAUCUUUUCUGGGGCAAUCUGUAACCCAACGAGGCAGAACUUCCUUCACCAUUUCAAACAUAUGUUCCAAAGUUUCCUUAUUAGAAUCUGAUAAAAAGAAUGUCAUCCAUGUAAUGAUAAACAAGAGAUUGUGAAAAUUUCUUAGGAAUUAUUUCCAAAGGUUGCUGUACAAAGUAUUGACACA
rnacentral:lncRNA from 1 species